AGGACGAACGCUGGCGGCGCGCUUAACACAUGCAAGUCGAACGUGAAGCCGGAGCUUGCUCCGGUGGAAAGUGGCGAACGGGUGCGUAACACGUGAGCAACCUGCCCCGAAGACUGGGAUAACACCGGGAAACCGGUGCUAAUACCGGAUACCUUCUUCUGAUCGCAUGGUCGGACGAAGAAAUGGAUUCCGCUUCGGGAUGGGCUCGCGGCCUAUCAGCUUGUUGGUGAGGUAACGGCCCACCAAGGCGACGACGGGUA
rnacentral:rRNA from 1 species